CAAUUGCCUUAUUCUUUCCUUGUUUUACUCCUUAAUCAGUGCUGUAUAUUUUCCCAAACAGUUGUAGACAUUCUGUAUAUAUAUUCAGACAGAUCAAUGAGAAUAUCAAGGCCAAUAUUUUCCAACACUGCUCAUUUGAUAACAAUAUCAUGAUCAUCGAAUGCUUAAAUUUAAGGGUGCCAAAUUAAUUUGGACAUUUCUAUCAAUUGCACAUUUUAUCCUUCCUUCAGUUACUACAGGUCUCUAAAAAGACAUGCACACGCUGCCUUCAUGGUCCAUUAUUAAUUCUUAAAUUUCCAAUCAUCAAUGAUUCCAAGAACAACCAUCAAAUAUAAAAUGUGAAUUUAGCAAUAAUUGUCAAUCUUUCUACACAAGUAAUACAAG
rnacentral:misc_RNA from 1 species